rnacentral:lncRNA from 1 species
GAAAAUAUGGUAUUAUGUGCAGCGCAGUAACUGUCUCUCAGAGGAGGACACCUCAAUCGCGCUGCACUGGGGAGUGGGGACAGAAAUGUGGGAGCGAGCUGAGGCAGCAGCAGCAGCGGUAUAGCAUCGUGGACGCAGAAAGCAGAUGGGGUUAGAGGCCAUUGGUAAGGCUGGCGUCGUCAGCAUAGGUCAGCAGAGCACGGAGAAGCACCCUGUGAUUCGACGUGUAUGCAGCCCGAGGGCUGCAGGCUAUGUUCCACCGCCGAGCAAGGGAGGUUUUGCGAUAGACCUUCGCGAGCGCCGCUCUUGAUGGAAGGGGAAGCUGGGCAU